GUCGGGACCAGUAUCCAGGCAGCGGUGCUGGCCCAGGGCCCCCUCCACUCCUCAAUGCUCCUCCUGUGUCCCUUCACUCAGUAGGAAGUGAGCAGGGAGGGUCUGCUCUUUCCGAUUUCUCUGCUGCGGGGGAUCUCUUUCCUGCCAAAGCCCAAUACUAAUCGGGCACUUUUGGUGGAGACAAACAAUGAACAAAAUCCUACAUGGACCCUGUCCUCACAGAGCUUACCUCCUAGCUGGGGAGAAGAUCAAUAACCACAAAGAUUUUCCUCUGGACUACUGGCCUGCCUAGUUCUAUCAUCUCCAGCACCAUCAGUAACACAACUUGAGAAGCAACCAUUGUUCGGAUAAACAAAGCA